UUAUAACUGGCCUGCAGCCACAAUGCUUUUAUGUCUCCUUCUCUGUAUCCACAGACCUGGGAAGCGGAAUCAUGGAGCCAAAUAUUGCUCGGAGAGGAACCCACCUUCUGCAGAGCUUGCCAUCUGGAGUGGAGAUCUUUGGAAGAAGCAAGCCCUUAACCGUACAAGGCCGUGAAGGCAAACGGCUGGCGCAAGCUUCUGUCUCCUGGGUGACUGCAGGAAGCAACUGAGAGCUGCGGGAUGAUUUAAACAGUGAAAGAGAAACUCAAAUGGUUGUCAC